UGGGGAAUAUUGCGCAAUGGGGGAAACCCUGACGCAGCGACGCCGCGUGCGGGAUGAAGGCCUUCGGGUUGUAAACCGCUUUUGAUUGGGAGCAAGCUUUCGGGUGAGUGUACCUUUCGAAUAAGCGCCGGCUAACUACGUGCCAGCAGCCGCGGUAAUACGUAGGGCGCAAGCGUUAUCCGGAAUUAUUGGGCGUAAAGGGUACGUAGGCGGGUAAGCAAGUUAGAAGUGAAAUCCUAUAGCUCAACUAUAGUAAGCUUUUAAAACUGCUCAUCUUGAGGUAUGGAAGGGAAAGUGGAAUUCCUAGUGUAGCGGUGAAAUGCGCAGAUAUUAGGAGGAAUACCGGUGGCGAAGGCGACUUUCUGGCCAUAACCUGACGCUGAGGUACGAAAGCGUGGGUAGCAAACAGG
rnacentral:rRNA from 1 species